CAAAAAAGUUGAUGUUGAACUAGUUGAAAUUGAUGUUUCCAUACCAUGAUCAAAUGGUGCUUUAUCUUCAUUGUUGGUUGCUUGAUAUUACGAGAUGGGUAUUUUUGAGCCCCUUCAAGCAACUCCCAGUUUGAAAAUCAUCACCUGCCCAUGAAAAUUCUGUAAGAAAAAUUCUUUCAUUAUGUACUAUUAUUUAUUUUUCUUUUUUUAUGGAUUCUGUUUGAGAAAAGAUCAUUGUUGUGUUUAACGGGUUGGUUUUCCCUGAUUAUGUACAGUGCAUGAGAAUCCAUCAUGCAGGUAACUGCCUGCAUAAUUGAUAAAUUGCUCUGGACCUUCCCUACUCUCUCUGCAGAAAGACUUCUUGUAUUAACUGCCUGAGUAGACAAGUUUAAUUUGUUGCCUUAAGCUACAUUCUAAUUGUAUAAACAAGGUGUGUUGAGCUAGUUGAAAUUGAUGUUUCCAUGCCAUGAUCAAAUGGUGUUUUAACUUCAUUUUUGGUUGCUUGAUAUUAUGAGAUGGGUAUUUUUGAGCCCCUUCAAGCAACUCCCAGUUUGAAAAUCAUCACCUGCCCAUGAAAGUUCUGUAAGAAAAAUUCUUGCAUUAUGUACUAUUAUUUAUUUUUCUCUUUUUUAUGGAUUCUGUUUGAGAAAAGAUCAUUGUUGUGUUUAACG
rnacentral:lncRNA from 1 species